AUGAACGCUAGCUACAGGCUUAACACAUGCAAGUCGAGGGGCAGCAUGGUCUUAGCUUGCUAAGGCCGAUGGCGACCGGCGCACGGGUGAGUAACACGUAUCCAACCUGCCGUCUACUCUUGGACAGCCUUCUGAAAGGAAGAUUAAUACAAGAUGGCAUCAUGAGUCCACAUGUUCACAUGAUUAAAGGUAUUCCGGUAGACGAUGGGGAUGCGUUCCAUUAGAUAGUAGGCGGGGUAACGGCCCACCUAGUCUUCGAUGGAUAGGGGUUCUGAGAGGAAGGUCCCCCACAUUGGAACUGAGACACGGUCCAAACUCCUACGGGAGGCAGCAGUGAGGAAUAUUGGUCAAUGGGCGAGAGCCUGAACCAGCCAAGUAGCGUGAAGGAUGACUGCCCUAUGGGUUGUAAACUUCUUUUAUAAAGGAAUAAAGUCGGGUAUGCAUACCCGUUUGCAUGUACUUUAUGAAUAAGGAUCGGCUAACUCCGUGCCAGCAGCCGCGGUAAUACGGAGGAUCCGAGCGUUAUCCGGAUUUAUUGGGUUUAAAGGGAGCGUAGAUGGAUGUUUAAGUCAGUUGUGAAAGUUUGCGGCUCAACCGUAAAAUUGCAGUUGAUACUGGAUAUCUUGAGUGCAGUUGAGGCAGGCGGAAUUCGUGGUGUAGCGGUGAAAUGCUUAGAUAUCACGAAGAACUCCGAUUGCGAAGGCAGCCUGCUAAGCUGCAACUGACAUUGAGGCUCGAAAGUGUGGGUAUCAAACAGGAUUAGAUACCCUGGUAGUCCACACGGUAAACGAUGAAUACUCGCUGUUUGCGAUAUACAGCAAGCGGCCAAGCGAAAGCGUUAAGUAUUCCACCUGGGGAGUACGCCGGCAACGGUGAAACUCAAAGGAAUUGACGGGGGCCCGCACAAGCGGAGGAACAUGUGGUUUAAUUCGAUGAUACGCGAGGAACCUUACCCGGGCUUAAAUUGCAGAUGAAUUACGGUGAAAGCCGUAAGCCGCAAGGCAUCUGUGAAGGUGCUGCAUGGUUGUCGUCAGCUCGUGCCGUGAGGUGUCGGCUUAAGUGCCAUAACGAGCGCAACCCUUAUCGAUAGUUACCAUCAGGUUAUGCUGGGGACUCUGUCGAGACUGCCGUCGUAAGAUGUGAGGAAGGUGGGGAUGACGUCAAAUCAGCACGGCCCUUACGUCCGGGGCUACACACGUGUUACAAUGGGGGGUACAGAGGGCCGCUACCACGCGAGUGGAUGCCAAUCCCAAAAACCUCUCUCAGUUCGGACUGGAGUCUGCAACCCGACUCCACGAAGCUGGAUUCGCUAGUAAUCGCGCAUCAGCCACGGCGCGGUGAAUACGUUCCCGGGCCUUGUACACACCGCCCGUCAAGCCAUGGGAGCCGGGGGUACCUGAAGUGCGUAACCGCGAGGAGCGCCCUAGGGUAAAACUGGUGACUGGGGCU
rnacentral:rRNA from 1 species